rnacentral:rRNA from 1 species
CAAGUCGAACGGGGUAGCAAUACCUAGUGGCGAACGGCGGAGUAAUACGUGAACAACGUGCCUUGAAGACUGGGAUAGCCAGGGGAAACCCUGAGUAAUACCGGAUGUGGCAACGAGAUGGCAUCUUCUCGUUACUAAAUGGUUUUUCGCUUUAAGAGCGGUUCACGACCUAUCAGCUAGUUGGUGAGGUAACGGCCCACCAAGGCGACGACGGGUAGGGGGUCUGAGAGGAUGAUCCCCCCGAGUGGGACUGAGACACGGCCCACACACCUACGGGUGGCAGCAGUUGGGAAUCUUGCACAAUGGGGGAAACCCUGAUGCAGCGACGCCGCGUGGAGGACGAAGGGUCUAGGCUCGUAAACUCCUUUUUUUGGGAAAGACUUAGGACGGUACCCAAAGAAUAAGCACCGGCUAACUACGUGCCAGCAGCCGCGGUAAGACGUAGGGUGCAAGCGUUGUCCGGAUUUACUGGGCGUAAAGAGCGCGUAGGCGGUCCAUUAAGUGUGAAGCUAAAUCUCCCGGCUCAACCGGGAAACUAUUUCGCAUACUGAUGGGCUGGAGUGAUGCAGAGGUGGAUAGAAUUCCCGGUGUAGCGGUGAAAUCCGUUGAUAUCGGGAGGAAUACCCGUGGCGAAGGCGGUCCACUGGGCAUCAACUGACGCUGAGGCGCGAAAGCGUGGGUAGCAAACAGGAUUAGAUACCCUGGUAGUCCACGCCCUAAACGAUGGAUGCUAGGCGUAGGAGGUAUCGACCCCUCCUGUGCCGCANCUAACGCACUAAGCAUCCCGCCUGGGGACUACNGCCGCAAGGUUGAAACUCAAAUGAAUUGACGGGGACCCGCACAAGCGGUGGAGCAUGUGGAUUAAUUCGAUACUAACCGAAGAACCUUACCCAGGUUUGACAUCGAGGGUAAGCCUAUGAAAGUAGGCCCUCUCCACAAG